rnacentral:misc_RNA from 1 species
GUGAAUCAUCAAAUUUUUGAACGCACAUUGCACUCUCUUCGGUGAGUAUGCCUGUUUGAGUUUCAGCCUAUAAAAAAUCGUCAUCGUUGCUGUGUCGCGGUGGCGCUCGUUGGAAAUUGGGUCAUAUUACAUCCUGUUGAUUUAAGCGUCUUCUAAUUUUCUUUGGGUUCAAUGAACAUAUCUAAGAUCUAUGUCUUUACACGAUUAAGGUAUCGUUUUUUACUAGACGUGACCAUCAUAUCGGAUCACGUCCAGA